rnacentral:rRNA from 1 species
GACGAACGCUGGCGGCGUGCUUAACACAUGCAAGUCGAACGGAAAGGCCCUGCUUUUGUGGGGUGCUCGAGUGGCGAACGGGUGAGUAACACGUGAGUAACCUGCCCUUGACUUUGGGAUAACUUCAGGAAACUGGGGCUAAUACCGGAUAGGAGCUCCUGCUGCAUGGUGGGGGUUGGAAAGUUUCGGCGGUUGGGGAUGGAUUCGCGGCUUAUCAGCUUGUUGGUGGGGUAGUGGCUUACCAAGGCUUUGACGGGUAGCCGGCCUGAGAGGGUGACCGGCCACAAUGGGACUGAGAUACGGACCAGACUCCUACGGGAGGCAGCAGUGGGGAAUAUUGCACAAUGGGCGGAAGCCUGAUGCAGCAACGCCGCGUGCGGGAUGACGGCCUUCGGGUUGUAAACCGCUUUCGCCUGUGACGAAGCGUGAGUGACGGUAAUGGGUAAAGAAGCACCGGCUAACUACGUG